rnacentral:rRNA from 1 species
UACGUAGGCAGCGAGCGUUGUUCGGAAUUACUGGGCGUAAAGAGUGUGUAGGCGGUGCUCCAAGUCUGGUGUGAAAUCUCCCGGCUUAACUGGGAGGGUGCAUUAGAAACUGGAAUGCUAGAGGAUGGGAGAGGUAGGCGGAAUUCCUGGUGUAGCGGUGAAAUGCGUAGAUAUCAGGAGGAACACCUGUGGUGUAGACAGCUUACUGGACCAUUUCUGACGCUGAGACACGAAAGCGUGGGUAGCAAACAGG